UCUCCGGUGUCUUCUUUUCACCGUGUCGCCGCUUACCACGGGCCCAGGUCCCUCGACCCAAAGAGGUUCUACCUCAAACUAGAAUUUUCCCAUUAAUUGUUUUGAAUCACAUUUGAUCAACUUAACUGAAGCAGCAGAGAUCAAAACUGCAGCAGAGACAAUGGCAAGCCAUGAUCAUCAGGCACAAAGGGAUACAGGAGCAGAGUAAGGAAACCAGAAAGCAGACAAAGAGAAGCAAAUCCAGGAGAGAGACACAUGAACUUUUGAUGACUGACACAUGCUAAGACUACACACGCUCUCUGAGAAGCCCCACUUUCCUGCAUGACUGAGAGAGAAACCUUCAUGUGUGUGCACUCAGAGAAAGGGAGAUGCAGUCCCUCUUGCAAGACGCAGUCACCACUGAGAAUCAUAAGUACAUGAAUGCCCCUGGAGACCAUACUCUUUAAGUGAAAUAAACUGCACACACUUGUGUAA